rnacentral:rRNA from 1 species
CCUACGGGUCGCAGCAGUGGGGAAUAUUGCACAAUGGGCGCAAGCCUGAUGCAGCCAUGCCGCGUGUAUGAAGAAGGCCUUCGGGUUGUAAAGCACUUUCAGUAGGGAGGAAGGUAGUGUAGUUAACACCUGCACUAUUUGACGUUACCUACAGAAGAAGCACCGGCUAACUCCGUGCCAGCAGCCGCGGUAAUACGGAGGGUGCAAGCGUUAAUCGGAAUUACUGGGCGUAAAGCGCACGCAGGCGGUUUGUUAAGUCAGAUGUGAAAUCCCCGGGCUCAACCUGGGAACUGCAUUUGGAACUGGCAAGCUAGAGUCUCGUAGAGGGGGGUAGAAUUCCAGGUGUAGCGGUGAAAUGCGUAGAGAUCUGGAGGAAUACCGGUGGCGAAGGCGGCCCCCUGGACGAAGACUGACGCUCAGGUGCGAAAGCGUGGGGAGCAAACAGGAUUAGAUACCCGUGUAGUC